UUCUUAACUACUUCGCUUAAGAUAGGGUUUAUCCUUCUUUGGUGUUCUCUCGAAGUCUUUGCAUCUUCUUCUAAUAAGAUUCGGUGCAUGCAUACAGAAGGGCUAAUUCCCUUUAAGUCUGAGAUGUUGUAACCUAAGGCAGCAGGAUAUUUUCUUAAGACAUCUAAUAAUUUUUCUGUUUCUAUCGGGUUUAGGUCAGCGUUCACUAUGACUGGGCGACUCAUAUUUUCGUCUAGAUAUUCAUACCUAAGGUUCUUAGGUAGCGGUUUGAGUUC
rnacentral:lncRNA from 1 species